CCCUACGGGGCGCAGCAGGCGCGAAACCUCCGCAAUACACGCAAGUGUGACGGGGCUACCCAAAGUGCUCCAUAUAGGAGCUGUGGUAGAUGGCUAGUGUUCUCUACUAGAAAGGAGAGGGCAAGGCUGGUGCCAGCCGCCGCGGUAAAACCAGCUCUUCAAGUGGUCGGGAUAAUUAUUGGGCUUAAAGUGUCCGUAGCUGGUAAGGUAAGUUCCUGGUAAAAUGGGGCAGCUUAACUGUCUUUAUGCUAGGAAUACUGCUUUACUAGAGGGCGGGAGAGGUCUGAGGUACUACAGGGGUAGGGGUGAAAUCUUAUAAUCCUUGUAGGACCACCAGUGGCGAAAGCGUCAGACUGGAACGCGCCUGACAGUGAGGGACGAAAGCCAGGGGAGCGAACCGGAUUAGAUACCCGGGUAGUCCUGGCCGUAAACGAUGCACACUAGAUGAUGGUGCGGCCAUGAGCCGUAUCAGUGUCGUAGGGAAACCGUUAAGUGUGCCGCCUGGGAAGUACGGUCGCAAGGCUUAAACUUAAAGGAAUUGGCGGGGGAGCAC
rnacentral:rRNA from 1 species